rnacentral:sRNA from 1 species
CUGAUUAUUUGCACCACUCAAGAAGUGGUGGGUUAGCACACGUUUCCGAGUAGCUAAAACCCGCCCUUGAGGCGGGUUUU